UACGUAGGGCGCAAGCGUUGUCCGGAAUUAUUGGGCGUAAAGAGCUCGUAGGCGGCUUGUCACGUCGGUUGUGAAAGCCCGGGGCUUAACCCCCGGGUCUGCAGUCGAUACGGGCAGGCUAGAGUGUGGUAGGGGAGAUCGGAAUUCCUGGUGUAGCGGUGAAAUGCGCAGAUAUCAGGAAGAACACCUAUGGCGAAGGCAGCACUCUGGGACGGUACUGACGCUGAGACGCGAAAGCGUGGGGAGCGAACAGG
rnacentral:rRNA from 1 species